AAGCCUGUCGAGCGCCGCCCGUACGCUGCACCCGCAGCCACGCACUCGAGGCCGAGCUCCCGAGCGUGCCGCCGCCUCGACCUCGCGACCCGCCGGCGACCGGAUCCUCGCCGGAGAUGAGUGCCGCCGUGCCCUGCUCCCUCCUCUCUUCCUCUGUCUCCUCUCACCUCGCUCAUCCCCCAAUCUCUCUGUCCCCAGGACGAACAGGAGCAUGCCAUGGCCUCGGAUCCGCGCCGCCGUCGCCGGAGAACGUCGCCCGCCACCGGUUCUUCGACUACAACUACCGGAUCAAGUUGCCCCGCCUCCGAUCUACCCGUUCCCGGCCACCCCAACCUCGCCUCGUCAUUGGGCGCGCAGAGAGACGGCCAUGGCCGCCCGAUUGCCGAGCGCCGCCGGCCAAGGUGGCUGCCCGAUGCACGAGCGCCGCCGGCCAAGGACCCGCCGGCGUCCAGACCCCCUCCACGCCAUCCCCAUCUCGCCGGAGACCUGCUCCAAGUCUGGCCGCCCUCCAAACAGUACGCGGAGACAGAGGCCAAGGAUGACCGGCAACUCUUGGAGGAGGACAACCUCAAAUCAGUCUGGGAAGUUGUCGUCGUUUUCCUCGGGCAGCAAUGCAAAAUAUUGUAAUGAUACUUAUCAACGUUUUUAUUUGGUUGUGCAGUACUCGCUAGGUGCUUGACGAAAUUCUCAUAUGAUGCAUGUGGCAAGGUUCCUAGAGGAUAAUGUAGAUUAAUGAUUCCAUGGAGAGCUGCCAGAAUCUUCAAUUGGAGGCAAUUAAAGACGGACCUCACCGGAUUGGAUUUGUCUAGCAUUCCAGCUAAGUUUCAAGGUAGCUUUAAGACUCCAUGCAAACAAUCACUGAUUAGUAGGUAGUAGGCAUGCAGUUUCAGUUAAACCGAAGCUUAAUCCACAUACAUUGUUCACUGGAGGUAUCCGUGCCAUUACACUCAUCCCUCUGUGUGAGUGACACAACUAUGUACUGCUAUAAAAACACUGGAGUGCCCAACAAUAUCUUAUAAUGGCUUUGGUACGUGGCAGUAUGAGGCCUGGGAUAAUGUUUACUUGUGAUUCACAAAAUGGAAGUAUGUGCUAUAUCUUUGUAUGAAAUUAAGGAAACAUCUCAUGUUCAUUGUCGCCUGGUUUAUGGUAACUGGUGUUGCCCCCUCCCUUGGAAUCUCUCAGAUCUAUGGCAUAGCCAGUUCUCCAUCCCGCAGUUUUCGCAUGUUGCAACGCACUGGCUCUUUUGUAGGACCAUCGUCGACAUAGACAAGUUCUGCUUCAAGGACGAGACAUAGAAGAAGGCUCGACAAGAGGAAGGAAGCAGGUGUGGUUUAGCAACGUACCUCAUACAUGGUUGGUUGCUGACAAAGGAGGGCAGAAUUGGAUUACAAAGGCUAAAGAUGGUACCAUCUGGCUCUCGCACUAGAGUUUUUCUGGAUGUUGGCUUUGGAGUAACAAGUUUUGGGCCAUACUUAAUUUCACGUGAAUUUGAGCAUGGUGUUCCUGCAAUGGUGGCAACUAAUUUAACACCGGCUAUUAUCCAAUGUUCCCGCUGUAGAAUAAAUUCGACAUGUGAUGGUGAGCUGAGCACAGCCUGUUUAUAAGCAUGAAGAGGCCCAACAUGAGGCAUGGAAAGAUAUGCUCCUUAAUACUAUCAUAGAUGGAGGACCUAGCUCUCAAACGGACCAUGUUGGGAGAUUGUGAGGAAAAUAUGUUUCUAUGUGGAGGAAGCCUUUUAUAAUUAACUCAUGGUACAUGAGUCGUGAUCCUAGGGUCAAACAUCCACUUUGUGAUACUGAUGAUAAUUCCAGAUAAUGUCUGGUAUUUUCAACCCCACCUGGCAUGCUUUUAAUUGUUAAGCCUCAAUUCAAGGACUAAAUUCAGAAUAUGUAUUAAGAAAGUAGUCCAUACUUUUUUUAGAUUUGUUUUGAACAUUUGCAUAAUUAUGCAAUUAUCUCUUGCAAAGUGUAGUCUCAUGAUUUCGACUUAUUUUUUUGUUGAUGAGUGAAUGUGUGAUA